GAGAAUGUGAUCAACUGAAUUAGGUCAAACGGGGUGGUGUGGUUAUAUCAACCAAAACUAGACUUUGAAUGUUGUUUGCAAUCCUUUUUUAUGUUUGUCCUCGUGACGACAACUGAUUGUUGACCUAGUUGGUUGUGAAAAUACCUUGGUUUUGAGGAGGAAGCGAAACCCUAAUUGUUGGGUACUUCAUGGCGCUGCAUGCAGUUGCGUGGUGUUUGAUUUCAAUAUGCUCUUUUCAUGUGACUAGGUUUGUGUUGCUCGUCUUACGGUAGAUUUGAUGAAUUGGGUUUUGGGGUUUUGGAGAUGGAUUACAAUCGGUGUUUUGCAGUUCAGCUUCUGAGUGAGGCAUGUUUUGCCUUUUGACGUCAUUGCCCGUGGGCAGUGAAUUUUUGCGCGUAUACCAAUCAAUCGUUGAAUAUGGUUAAUUGCUCCAUCUCUUUGCUGUAUUAAUUUAUUCACUUGCACCGGAGUGGGUAAUUGAUUGCGAUGGAGGGGCGCAAGCUGUUGCCGAUAAACCAGUAUGAGGAGCAGAUUGUGGAUGCUGUGGCCAAGCACAGUGUUGUGGUGGUCAUUGGAGAGACGGGUUCGGGUAAAACCACCCAACUUUCGCAGAUUCUGCACCGAGCAGGGUACACGAAGAAAGGCAUGAUUGGUGUUACUCAGCCUCGGCGAGUGGCUGCUGUUUCUGUUGCACGUCGUGUGGCUUGGGAAAUGGAUGUUCAGCUAGGGGACGAAGUGGGAUAUUCUAUUCGAUUUGAAGACCGAACAUCCAAAAAUACACUCAUAAAGUACUUGACGGAUGGUUGCUUGCUUCGUGAAUGCUUGUUUGAUUACGAGUUCAAACAGUACUCUGUCAUCAUUCUUGACGAGGCUCACGAGCGCAGUUUGAAUACAGACAUAUUGCUUGGCCUGUUGAAGCGUAUUGCUCAGAAUCGGGAUACUGAAUUGAAAGUGAUCAUUACAUCUGCCACUCUUGACGGGCAGAAAUUUUCCGAGUAUUUUCACGGAUGUCCUGUUGUCAACGUUCCUGGCAAAUUAUAUCCUGUGCAACUCCUUUACAGCACAGAGGUGCCUAGCAGCUACUUGGAGUCUGCUGUAGAGACAGCAAUCGAUGUACAUGUCAGAGAACCUGAAGGGGACAUUUUAGUUUUUCUCACUGGACAGGAUGAGAUAGAGAAGGUUCUCAAGAUGCUGGAAGAGAGGGUUCUCAUGCUGGAGGAGGGUUCCUGUCUUGACGCCAUAAUACUUCCACUACAUGCAUCUUUAGCGCCAGAGGUCCAGGCUCGUGUAUUUCAACCGGCCCCUCCCAAUUGCCGGCGCAUUAUUGUGGCGACCAACGUUGCAGAAACGUCUCUUACUGUGGACGGUGUUGUGUAUGUGAUUGAUCCUGGAUUUGUGAAGCAACGGAACUAUAAUCCCAACACUGGCAUGGACUCACUUUCUGUUGUACGCAUAAGUAGGGUGCAGGCCACUCAAAGGGCAGGUAGAGCAGGGCGGACGCGUCCAGGCAAGUGUUACCGCCUUUAUCCGAUGUCUGCAUUUGAAGAGGAGUUUCUUCCAGCCACUGUUCCAGAAAUUCAACGAUCAUCUCUCACGGGCGCUGUAUUACAUCUCAAAUUUCUGGAUCUGCCAAAUGUGGAUAUCCUGCACUUCGACUUUAUCGAUCCACCAUUGAGAGAGUCACUGGAAGAUGCUCUACGCCAGCUGUUCGCGAUUGAUGCUAUCGGUCCAGAUGGUAAGAUUACUGCCCUCGGAAAGCGUAUUGCAGAGCUGCCAUUGGAACCUGCUCUAGGAAGGACUUUAUUGGCUGCUGAGGACCUUGGUUGUCUUUCCCAAGCCCUGACUGUGGCUGCCAUGCUUUCCGCUGAAACAAUCUUCAUGCAAGGACCGAAGAAAGGUGAAGAUAGAAAGAGGUCUAGAGAGGAUCAGCAGCUGCCAAAUGGAAAUAAUUACGGGGAUCAUGUGCAGUACUUGCAAAUUUAUGAGUUGUGGAAGAAAAAUAAUUUUGAUAUCAAAUGGUGUAGAAGCAACAAUUUGAAUAUCAGAUCUAUGCUCUUCGCCAAGGAUGUGAGACGUCAACUAGCACUUAUCACGUCAAGGAAAAAAUUUGAGGAUGAUGAGGCCAUGCAAAAGAUCAAGAGUGCACGUUCACUGCGGAAAGCUUUAUGUCAAGGGUACGCUUGUAGAUUGGCGCAACGAAUGCCCAAACAUAAUGGGUAUCAUACUGUUGGCAACAAAUCUCAGCUGGUUCAGCUCCAUCCGGCAACUAGUCCGCUCCAGGUGGAUGAAGAUGGUCUGUAUCCUGAGUGGAUCCUGUACCACGAGCUUAUGGCCAGCUCGCGCGCUUUCCUUCGUCAUGUUUGUGUUGUUGAGAAAGAGUGGGUGGUCCCUAUUUUGGAAAAGCUACAGAACAUUAAUAUUCGGAGUCUCAGUGGACUGAGUGGUCAUGAGUCCCAAAAGGAGAAAAUCUCAGAAGGAGAGAAGAAAGCUAUUGCAUCGAAUCCCAUUGAUCAGGAAGCACGGUCUGUAGAUGUCAAUGCUGCACGCGCCAGAUUUCUUGCAAGAAAGCAGUCUAAGUCCAUCAAGUCUUCCAAAUGACAUUAAGAAUAUACAACCUUUCUUUGUUUUGUCUGGAAUUCGUGUUAGCAGGGAUCUAUUCGCAAAAUCUACUCCAUGCUGCUGCUUCUGUAUAGAGACGUGAUUUUUUUGUGGGGGAGCGUGUCGACAAUCUCUGAAUUCGUAGAUAAAAAUGUGUGGUUCCAACAUCAGCAUGUCCUUUUCUGUGGAAGUAUUUCACAAACUUUUAAGGGUUGUACUCAAAUCUUGAAAGGCAUACGUGAACCACGAAACAGGUGCUUCAACAGUGAGAACAAAGGUGGAAUGCCCAAAGAAAUGACCCUCAUAUACGACAACUUGUUAUUCCCUCUUGGGAUUGCAAAAUCUUUAGCAUGAAUAGAACUUUUGCUUCGCUGCGAAUGGGGUGGUAUAACAGAGGUCUCGUCUUAGGCUUAUGUUUUAGAAGCCUUAAGAGCUUGUACUGAGGAAUCGCUUGUAGAUUGUCAAAAAAAUUGCUGAAUUCUGCCGUCUUGAGAUCCUAGAGGAAAGGGAAUGUUUUUUUUAUUAGUGCACGAGAAAAGUUAACUUGUACACUCGAUAUCUACUGGAAGACGGAGGAUACGAUGCUGGUGAUAAAAUGAUUCCUCUCAAGGCAUCGCACUUCUUGAGAUACUAAUAAGCCCCUCCAUUGAUUUGCACAGGCUAUUGUGUUGGUAGUAAUGUAGCUUAACAAAGAAUUCUUUUUAAUCCUAUUGCAAGUAUGUGUACAUCAUACCUACCUACUGCUGGUGCAGAGGCUGUCGCAAUGUUACUAGAGGCAGCUUGUAGAACACAUAGGCUCGAUCACACGCACUGUGAUGUCUAGUGGCGUAUGCCUUCUGUCGGUCUCGCUGUGCAAGGCGCAAGGAUCGGUUCACACCGUUGCUGGAACUUUGGGCCCUUUCUCACCGACUUGGUUCCAUACCAGGUUGGAUGUUGUCUUGGAUGCAGGGUGCAAAGUCAACAAAUCUGCAGUUGCUUACCUAAUCGAGGAUGAAGGUCUGGUAAGCAUAAAUUACAUGGAGGAUGUUGUUGUGUUGCUGCUCGGUCGUGAAGUCGCCAAGGUUACAAGCGAUAACGGUAUUCAGAACUAUAGGGAAACUUGCUAUAACUUUACCAGGUCCAGAUUUAGGGGUAUCACAAUCACAGGAUAGCGCUCUGUGAUUCUAUGGAAAGGUUCCAAUAAUUCAUGUGCUUGAUGAUCAGAUCUGCAAUUCUAACACAUCUAGACGCCUUCAAAUUUAGA